AAAAAAGGACAUUCUGCAAGUGAGUUUUGGCUGCUUCGAUUUUUUUGUGGUAUUACUUUCAAUGUCGGCAUUUAUUUCUUCACUUUUUUACGAAAUGAUGGACUGAGUUUUUGACUUUUGACAUUUUUUUUUCACUGACAAAUUUGGCCAGAAUGAAUUUUUAAAUACAUAGGCUUGGUAGCUCUUGGACCAGACUACGGACAAUGCAUAGGGCUCUCCAGCGGUAAACAUUAUGGGAGAUGUGUGCGAUUAUGUUUUGAAGGGAGGGGCUUACGCUUUGUAGUAGCCUAUUAUUGAAUACUGUGGAGCAGACCGAUCCGAAGGCAGAUUCUAUCUCUUUACAUUGACUGACCUGCUUCGUGGUUGUUUGCUACCCAGGUGAAUCAACAAUAAUUUACUUUGUGAACUCAAUAGAUUUAAGACCCCCCUCCUACUCAACGUGGAACAGGCCGAGGCUGGAGUGACUGACAGACUGACUGACUGGUGCUCAGAUUCUCUCUCUCUCCAGGGCGUAACCAUGGAUGAUGACUUUGAGCGGCGCCGAGAGCUCAGGAGGCAGAAGAGGGAGGAGAUGCGCCUGGAGGCUGAGCGAUUGGCCUUUCAGGGUAGUAAUGAGGAUGAGGAGGAGGCUGCAAGGGAGCGUAGACGCAGGGCGCGUCAGGAGAGGAUGAGAGGGAUGGGAGGCGAGGAGCCCAGUGACAGCGUGGUGAUGACCAACAGCCAUAGUGUGACAGAGACGGUGUCUGUGUCCUCCUCCUCUAUGACCUCCUCGGGUGGAGGAGACGAUGAUGAGCAGGCCCUGCUGGAGCGCAUGGCCAAACGAGAGGAGCGCAGGCAGAAAAGAUUGAUGGAAGCUCUGGAGCGAGAGAAGGAUCAGAACCCCGGCAGUGACGGUAACCACGGCAGCGGGGAGAAUACUGUGGAGGAGAGGUCCGUCGGCCGCAGGGGCCGUUACCAGGACAACGAAGAAGAGGUGGAAGAGCGGAACUGCCGAAAGGAGGAGGAGGGGGAGGCUGCUCCGGAGGAGGAAGAGGCUGAGCAGGGAGAGGAAGAAGCGGAUGAAGAGGUGGUGGAGGAGGAGAAACCGAGACAGUCCUAUAUGAGAGAACAGGAAGAUACAGAAGAGCAAGCAGUGGUUUUAAAUGAGGUUGAGGAAUCAGAGGCAGAGGUUGAAGAAAAUGCUGCAUUAAGUGAUAAGGUAGAGGAAGAAGUAGAGGAACCAGAUCAGUUAGAGGUAGAGGGCACAACAGUGACCCUGAACAAUGAGACUGAGGAAGACUGUCGGAUGUCAACCAUCCAAAACGGCUUGGAUGGGGUGAAUGAAAAGCAGAAUGGAGGUCUGCACGAGGAGACUCCUCAAAAACACAAAAAAACAGAAAGGACACUGAGCCGCGGCAGCGUGCGCUCCCCGGCGGCGGGGGCGGAGGAGCAGGACGACACGGCGCCCCUGGAGGCGGAGCUUAAGCUGGAGGAGCUGAAGCGCCGCCGUGACGAUGCGGAGAGCGAGGAGUUCGAGAGGAUGAGACGGAAGCAGCAGGAGGCUGAGCAGGAGCUGGAGGAGCUGAAGAAGAAGAGGGAGGAGAGGAGGAAGAUCAUAGAAGAGGAGGAGAGACAGAAGAAACAGGAGGAGGCCGAGAAGAAGGACAGAGAGGAGGAGGAGAAGAGGAGGAUGAAGGAAGAGAUAGAAAGGAGAAGGGCGGAGGCGGCCGAGAAGAGACAGCAGAUGGGGGUGGAGACUGUCGACGCAGAGGCCAAACCCUUCAAAUGCUUCAGUCCCAGAGGAUCCUCCCUCAAGAUUGGUGAAAGGGCAGAGUUUCUGAGCAAGUCGGCACAGAAAAGCACGGUGAAGUCAACUCACUCUCCUGUCGUCUCUAAGAUUGACAACAGACUGGAGCAGUACACCUCUGUUGCCCAGAACAAGGAUAUGCGGUCCCCACGCUCCGGUGCCGUGGACCUGCCCAUGGUGACAGAUGGGAUACGCAACAUUAAGAGCAUGUGGGAGAAAGGCAGCGUGUUCAACUCGCCCGGGGGCGGCGGGGGCACGUACAAGGAAGCAGCUGGGAUGAAGAUAGGUGUGGCGGGCCGCAUCAACGACUGGCUGAAUAAAACCCCCGAGAGCAAAACGCCAGGAGGAAGGCCCGCGGACCUAAAGCCAGGAGAUGUGACCAACAAGAGAAGUCUGUGGGAAAACAAGGGCUCCUCCCCAGCCAAGAGCUCUGAAGAAGAGCUCUCUUAGCUAGUUGACUUCACCGUUAACUAGUCUGGAAACCCUGGAGAGGUGACUGGCAGAGGGGAGAAUAAAUCUGUUGCCAACGCAGGUAUGGGACACGAAUGAUACAACGAGCUUCUUCUGAUGGCUGGUGGGGACCAAGACAAUCCAAGACUCUUCCUUUUCUAUGUAUUAUACCAAAACAAAUAUGACCACCACCCUGAGGGAACCCAAGGAAUGGAGAGAAACAGGAGAUUCUAUUUAAUAAGCACUGUACUGAAACGAACAGCCACCAACCAUCUCGUCACAUGACAGUGUAGUGCCUUUGCACAACGACUUACUAUGACUUACUUUCACAACAAACAAACAAAAUAAUAUGCUGUGAAAUUUGGAUGUUUUUAUGAUAUGGUCAUUUGUUUUAUAUGUGAUAAGCAAAAACUUACAGAAGAGAAAAAAAUGAAUUGAAAUUAGAUAUAUUUCCCAUGCGCUCUUCAGUACAUGUGUAGUUUUGAUAUAGUAGAGAAAUGUUUUUAUGUGAGGUGUCCAGUUCCACAAUCAUAUCCGUGUUCCGAAGAGAGACGUCUACCACCAAUGCUCUGUCCAUGUCGUCCAUCUCACUUCUUUUUCAAAUUUAUAUUUAAAGCAAAGCUUCACACACGGCUAUUUUAUUCAUGUUCACCAGUUCAGGAGAGAGAUUAUACGGACUCCGUAGAGUUGGCUUAUUUCACCUUUUUUUUUGUCUUACCAAUUAGUGCAACAAUGGUCUGAGUUAAUAUGUGUUAGCACAUAAGUACACGUCGUUAUGAAUAUUAUACCGUAUCUUCUAUUACAGCUUUAUACUCAAGAUUUGUUUCGCUUUUGUACUCUAAAAUUGAGUGACUACCAACCGACAAGAGGCAAUGAAAGGCAGUGCAAGCAACUAAAGGAAAGUUGUAUAUUAAAACGGCUAUUAUAACGUUUAUUAUCCUAGUUUCAAUUUAUUUAUGUGUUUUUUUUAACGUGUUUUGUCAUCGGCUGUCUUUGUAGCUUUUGUACCUGCUGUUUGAAUCUCUAAAUUCACUUUGUUAAACUUUCAAGCAACCCAUAAUUCAGCAGGUGUAGAUAAGAGUUACAUCCUCAUCGUAAGGACUCUCUGACCCACAACAUUCCACACCACUAAGCACGCCGCCGGGCUUAUUCACAUGCAUGCUCCAAUGGCUUCUAUUCAGGAGGUUAAGGACCUCAGCUUUGUCAGUGAGUUUGUCUGAAUAUGGCAGGCCAGAUACACAUUUAUAUACUAUGCCUGUACCAUGAGACGGCGUUGGUUUAAGCCGUAUGUCGCCUUGCCAUUUAAGCCCAAAUCCGAUGUACUAACUAUAGGACUCUAAAAGAAGGGAAAGUGCACAUUUCGAUAUUGACAACGACAGAGGAUUGAGUCAGUCAAAAGAAGACAGAUUUUGACUCCAGCCAACAAUUGCGCUCGACGCUUGUUCUGGGUUUGAGUUUUCCUAAAAGUUCCGUAGUGGUAUGUAAGGUCGUGUUUACAGCACAAAUCCUUUACAUGCAACGGUCUCAAGGCCUUGUUGCGUGCACCGAAUAAACUGUACCUUGCACGCUGCCAACUCAGUAUGACUUCCGCUGUUUUUUUUUGUUUUUUUUACCGUUUCAUUAUCGAUGUUCUAUGUUUCAUGUUUCAUUCAUUCAUUUUGCAUGACGUGCUUUGAUAAUAUGGGUAUUAUAUAGAGGUUAGCAGGGGCAUUGUAAGAUUGUUCUGUGUAAACCUUGACAAUCACAUUCCAUGACUCCUUAGAAAUACGAGCAAUGGAGUCUGACCAAAAUAUCUAACAUUAUUUUACAUUGCUGUUAUUUCAUAUUUUGGUCAUUUGCUUUUUUUUGUCCGUUUUUAAAUUGUAUUUUAUUUUAUUUCAAACACCCUCAUUUAUUGUGUAGAGUUAACUAUGCAAGGCACUCUGUCGUUUCAGAUACAACUUUGUUAUAGUACUGGGUAGUUUCCUACAGAAUGAAUGUUAUGAAAUAUUUGUACCGUUGACUCAACAACAGCAAUAAAGAGAUAUAAAUUGUU